UGCAGCGACGCCGCGUGAGGGAUGACGGCCUAUCGGGUUGUAAACCUCUUUCAGUAGGGAAGAAGCGAAAGUGACGGUACCUGCAGAAGAAGCGCCGGCUAACUACGUGCCAGCAGCCGCGGUAAUACGUAGGGCGCAAGCGUUAUCCGGAAUUAUUGGGCGUAAAGAGCUCGUAGGCGGUUUGUCGCGUCUGCCGUGAAAGUCCGGGGCUCAACUCCGGAUCUGCGGUGGGUACGGGCAGACUAGAGUGAUGUAGGGGAGACUGGAAUUCCUGGUGUAGCGGUGAAAUGCGCAGAUAUCAGGAGGAACACCGAUGGCGAAGGCAGGUCUCUGGGCAUUAACUGACGCUGAGGAGCGAAAGCAUGGGGAGCGAACAGGAUUAGAUACCCUGGUAGUCCAUGCCGUAAACGUUGGGCACUAGGUGUGGGGGACAUUCCACGUUUUCCGCGCCGUAGCUAACGCAUUAAGUGCCCCGCCUGGGGAGUACGGCCGCAAGGCUAAAACUCAAAGGAAUUGACGGGGGCCCGCACAAGCGGCGGAGCAUGCGGAUUAAUUCGAUGCAACGCGAAGAACCUUACCAAGGCUUGACAUGAACCGGAAAAGCCUGGAAACAGGUGCCCCGCUUGC
rnacentral:rRNA from 1 species